UACGGGAGGAGCGAGCAUUAUUCGGAAUGAUUGGGCGUAAAGAGUUUGUAGGUGGUUUUUUAAGUUGAAAAAAAAAAAUUAAAGCUUAACUUUAUAAAUUUUUUCAAAACUGAAAAACUUGAGUAUAAAUAGAGGAUAAUGGAAUUUCUAUUGUAGUGAUAAAAUAUGUUGAUAACAGAAGGAAGACCAAAAGCGAAGGCAAUUAUCUGGGUAUAUACUGACACUGAGAAACGAAAGCUUGGGGAGCAAACGGG
rnacentral:rRNA from 1 species